UAAAUACUAAUACCAGAUCGAUAGUGCACAAGUACCGUGAGGGAAAGGUGAAAAGAACUGAGGUGAUCAGAGUGAAAUAGAACCUGAAACCAUUUGCUUACAAUCAUUCAGAGCCCUAUGUAGCAAUACAGGGUGAUGGACUGCCUUUUGCAUAAUGAGCCUGCGAGUUGUGGUGUCUGGCAAGGUUAAGCAAACGCGAAGCCGUAGCGAAAGCGAGUCUGAAUAGGGCGCUUAGUCAGAUGCUGCAGACCCGAAACGAAGUGAUCUAUCCAUGAGCAAGUUGAAGCUAGUGUAAGAACUAGUGGAGGACUGAACCCAUAGGCGUUGAAAAGCCCCGGGAUGACUUGUGGAUAGGGGUGAAAGGCCAAUCAAACUUCGUGAUAGCUGGUUCUCUCCGAAAUAUAUUUAGGUAUAGCGUUGUGUCGUAAUAUAAGGGGGUAGAGCACUGAAUGGGCUAGGGCAUACACCAAUGUACCAAACCCUAUCAAACUCCGAAUACCUUAUAUGUAAUCACAGCAGUCAGGCGGCGAGUGAUAAAAUCCGUCGUCAAGAGGGAAACAACCCAGACUACCAGCUAAGGUCCCUAAAUCUUACUUAAGUGGAAAACGAUGUGAAGUUACUUAAACAACCAGGAGGUUGGCUUAGAAGCAGCCAUCCUUUAAAGAAAGCGUAAUAGCUCACUGGUCUAGUGAUUUUGCGCGGAAAAUAUAACGGGGCUAAAGUAAGUACCGAAGCUGUAGACUUGCACACAACUUAGAUUAUUUAAGUUUAGAAUAUGAGAAACUAAGUUAUAUGUUUAGUUAUAUUUUUACUGAUUUUUAUAGAGUAAAGAUAGAAAUAAAACUUAGUAAAAUCAGUAAAAAUAUUCUUAGACUAAAGUUAAGUAGUUUAAGUUGUGUGCAAGUGGUAGGAGAGCGUUCUAUUUGCGUCGAAGGUAUACCGGUAAGGAGUGCUGGAGCGAAUAGAAGUGAGCAUGCAGGCAUGAGUAGCGAUAAUUAAUGUGAGAAUCAUUAACGCCGUAAACCCAAGGUUUCCUACGCGAUGCUCGUCAUCGUAGGGUUAGUCGGGUCCUAAGUCGAGUCCGAAAGGGGUAGACGAUGGCAAAUUGGUUAAUAUUCCAAUACCAACAUUAGUGUGCGAUGGAAGGACGCUUAGGGCUAAGGGGGCUAGCGGAUGGAAGUGCUAGUCUAAGGUCGUAGGAGGUUAUACAGGCAAAUCCGUAUAACAAUACUCCGAGAACUGAAAGGCUUUUUGAAGUCUUCGGAUGGAUAGAAGAACCCCUGAUGCCGUCGAGCCAAGAAAAGUUUCUAAGUUUAGCUAAUGUUGCCCGUACCGUAAACCGACACAGGUGGGUGGGAUGAGUAUUCUAAGGCGCGUGGAAGAACUCUCUUUAAGGAACUCUGCAAAAUAGCACCGUAUCUUCGGUAUAAGGUGUGGUUCGCUUCGUAUUAGGAUUUACUCCGAAAGCGAAGAAACUUACAACAAAGAGUCCCUCCCGACUGUUUACCAAAAACACAGCACUCUGCUAACUCGUAAGAGGAUGUAUAGGGUGUGACGCCUGCCCGGUGCUCGAAGGUUAAUUGAUGGGGUUAGCAUUAGCGAAGCUCUUGAUCGAAGCCCGAGUAAACGGCGGCCGUAACUAUAACGGUCCUAAGGUAGCGAAAUUCCUUGUCGGUUAAAUACCGACCUGCAUGAAUGGCGUAACGAGAUGGGAGCUGUCUCAAAGAGGGAUCCAGUGAAAUUGUAGUGGAGGUGAAAAUUCCUCCUACCCGCGGCAAGACGGAAAGACCCCGUGGACCUUUACUACAGCUUGACACUGCUAUUUGGAUAAGAAUGUGCAGGAUAGGUGGGAGGCUUUGAGUAUAUGACGCCAGUUGUAUAUGAGCCAUUGUUGAGAUACCACUCUUUCUUAUUUGGGUAGCUAACCAGCUUGAGUUAUCCUCAAGUGGGACAAUGUCUGGUGGGUAGUUUGACUGGGGCGGUCGCCUCCCAAAUAAUAACGGAGGCUUACAAAGGUUGGCUCAGAACGGUUGGAAAUCGUUCGUAGAGUAUAAAGGUAUAAGCCAGCUUAACUGCAAGACAUACAAGUCAAGCAGAGACGAAAGUCGGUCUUAGUGAUCCGGUGGUUCUGUGUGGAAGGGCCAUCGCUCAAAGGAUAAAAGGUACCCCGGGGAUAACAGGCUGAUCUCCCCCAAGAGCUCACAUCGACGGGGAGGUUUGGCACCUCGAUGUCGGCUCAUCGCAUCCUGGGGCUGGAGCAGGUCCCAAGGGUAUGGCUGUUCGCCAUUUAAAGCGGUACGCGAGCUGGGUUCAGAACGUCGUGAGACAGUUCGGUCCCUAUCUGCCGUGGGCGUAAGAAGAUUGAAGAGAUUUGACCCUAGUACGAGAGGACCGGGUUGAACAAACCACUGGUGUAGCUGUUGUUCUGCCAAGAGCAUCGCAGCGUAGCUAAGUUUGGAAAGGAUAAACGCUGAAAGCAUCUAAGCGUGAAGCCAACUCUAAGAUGAAUCUUCUCUAAGCUCUCUAGAAGACUACUAGUUUGAUAGGCUGGGUGUGUAAUGGAUGAAAGUCCUUUAGCUGACCAGUACUAAUAGAGCGUUUGGCUUAUCUUUAAUAAAGCAU
rnacentral:rRNA from 1 species